UCCCUACGGGAGGCAGCAGUCGGGAAUAUUGCGCAAUGGAGGAAACUCUGACGCAGUGACGCCGCGUAUAGGAAGAAGGUCUUCGGAUUGUAAACUAUUGUCGUUAGGGAAGAAAAAUGACGGUACCUGACUAAGAAGCUCCGGCUAAAUACGUGCCAGCAGCCGCGGUAAUACGUAUGGAGCAAGCGUUAUCCGGAUCUACUGGGUGUAAAGGGAGCGCAGACGGCAGGGCAAGUCUGAUGUGAAAGUCCGGGGCUCAACCCCGGGACUGCAUUGGAAACUGCCCGGCUAGAGUGCAGGAGAGG
rnacentral:rRNA from 1 species